UGUUGACAUUAUAGUUGUGCAGGAACUCUGUGGACUCUAGAGAACCUCGGGCAAAUCGCACAUCCCUGUGGCGGCGACUUUGCAUGCGGAUGUCAUCCAUAUCAACUUUCUAUGCCAGUUUCUGCGCCUACCAUGGUGACCACGGGUAACGGGGAAUCAGGGUUACAUUCCAUACAGGGACCCUGAGAAACGGUUACCACAUGCAAGGAAGGCAGCAGGCGAGCAAAUGACCCACUCCCAACACAGGAAGGUAGUGACAACA